rnacentral:rRNA from 1 species
UACGGGGGGGGCAAGCGUUGUUCGGAAUUACUGGGCGUAAAGGGCUUGUAGGCGGCCAACUAAGUCAGACGUGAAAUCCCUCGGCUUAACCGGGGAACUGCGUCUGAUACUGGAUAGCUUGAGUUCGGGAGAGGGAUGCGGAAUUCCAGGUGUAGCGGUGAAAUGCGUAGAUAUCUGGAGGAACACCGGUGGCGAAGGCGGCAUCCUGGACCGACACUGACGCUGAUGAGCGAAAGCCAGGGGAGCAAACGGG